rnacentral:tRNA from 2 species
UCGGGGCGUAGCGCAGUCUGGUAGCGCACCUGGUUUGGGACCAGGUGGUCGUGAGUUCGAAUCCCACCGCCCCGACCC